rnacentral:rRNA from 1 species
CCUACGGGAGGCAGCAGUGAGGAAUAUUGGUCAAUGGGCGGAAGCCUGAACCAGCCAAGUCGCGUGAGGGAUUAAGGCCCUGCGGGUCGUAAACCUCUUUUGCCGGGGAGCAGUGGUCCGGACGCGUCCGGACCGGGAGAGUACCCGGAGAAAAAGCAUCGGCUAACUCCGUGCCAGCAGCCGCGGUAAUACGGGGGAUGCGGGCGUUAUCCGGAUUUAUUGGGUUUAAAGGGAGCGUAGAUGGGUUGUUAAGUCGGGUGGGAAAGUUUGCGGCUAAACCGUAAAAUUGCAAUUGAUACUGGCAGUCUUGAGUACAGUUGAGGUAGGCGGAAUUCGUGGUGUAGCGGUGAAAUGCUUAGAUAUCACGAAGAACCCCGAUUGCGAAGGCAGCUUACUAAACUGUGACUGACAUUGAUGCUCGAAAGUGUGGGUAUCAAACAGGAUUAGAUACCCGAGUAGUC